ACUCCUACGGGAGGCAGCAGUGGGGAAUAUUGCACAAUGGGCGCAAGCCUGAUGCAGCAACGCCGCGUGAGGGAUGAAGGCCUUCGGGUUGUAAACCUCUUUUAGCAGGGAAGAAGCGAAAGUGACGGUACCUGCAGAAAAAGCACCGGCUAACUACGUGCCCAGCAGCCGCGGUAAUACGUAGGGUGCAAGCGUUGUCCGGAAUUAUUGGGCGUAAAGAGCUCGUAGGCGGUUUGUCACGUCUGCUGUGAAAAUCCAAGGCUCAACCUUGGACUUGCAGUGGGUACGGGCAGGCUAGAGUGCGGUAGGGGAGAUGGGAAUUCCUGGUGUAGCGGUGGAAUGCGCAGAUAUCAGGAGGAACACCAAUGGCGAAGGCACAUCUCUGGGCCGUAACUGACGCUGAGGAGCGAAAGCGUGGGGAGCGAACAGGAUUAGAUACCCUGGUAGGUC
rnacentral:rRNA from 1 species